rnacentral:lncRNA from 1 species
CCCAAUGGCUUCCAUAGCAUCUAGCAGCAGUAUGCAAGUUAGCCAGCAGGGAGAGCUUCUUCAUUAGUUCGAGACUGGUUUCUCUAUGUCCUGCAACAAAAGUGUGUGGUGUUUUCAGCAAUAAGGUCUUCAUAUCUAGUUACGGUGGGUGGCCGAGAGGAAUAAUGGCCUGUGCUGUGCCUUGCUGACCCCCAGGUCGUUUGGGGGAGAUGUCUUAAAGGGUCACUUAAAAUAAGUAGACUUAAAUGCUGGCUCAUUCGUCAACUAACAUAAAACUGUGGGGAUUUAAAUUUUCUGCACGAAUGCUUUAAUGUGUGCCAGAGAGCUUGAUUCAGUAACAGUACAGCCAUGGUGCAGAACAGAGUCGAAAAAGGACUAAGGGAGGAGAUGGCAGAGACCCGAGCAUGAGCCUGGCCGCCAUUAAUGCGCGCACCACCAAAACCCUAUUGCAUCUGGUCUCUGGAUGCCUGAAUGCGAAAGAGACCCAAUUAGAUUCUAUCAAAAAUCGCAGAGGUAAUAUGACCUCUUGGGAAAUAUCUUAAGAUGUGAUGGCAGCUGUGAUCUAAGUGCUUUGAUUAAGCAUUGACUCAAAAAAAAGAAAAGAAAGAAAGAGGGAAGAA